UGAGAAAACGUCGGGCUGUUUGGUUGUCUUCAUAUUUCGGCUGUUCGGUUGUUUGGUUGUUUAGUUGGACGGUUGUUCGGUUGUUCGGUUGUUCACUUGGUUGUGCCUGGGCGGCCUUUUGGCUUAUCGAACGAAUAUUCGGUUUGUUGCGGGUGGCGGCAAUCGUCGCGGAAAACUCUGCGCACCCUCAAUUGCGCAGAGAAAGAUAAACAAAAAUUGGAAAAUCAUCGAAAGAAAAAUACAGAAAUAAAGUGUUUCAAAGUGUGAAAGAUGCGGCAAAGUCAAAUUGAAACGUAAUCAAGCAAAAGAUUGCGAUAUUGAAAGGCAACGAGAGCAGAUCUUAUAUAGACAGCAACACCAGGAGCUUCAAAGGCAGUCUGUCUGCUCCUCUGUCCGACUGUCUAUAAGUGUGGCUGACUGUCUGUCGGUCUGUCUGUCUGUCGGUCUGUCUGUCUGUCGGUCUGUCUGACUGUCUACGGCUACUGGCCCCCUAGUGCAAACGCAUGAGUUCUGUCAACGAAAUGACAUGCAGCAUCUGUCUAUGUAGCCAUAGACCAGGACGUGAUGCUGUGUCUCAGUUGUUGCUAUUUUUAUGAGCACACACACUCACACACACCCAUACACAUACACACAUACGAGGACGGAUGCGUGGCCCCAUGAAAAAUCAAUUAACACGCAGAAUUAUUAAAAACGAC